rnacentral:lncRNA from 1 species
CAACAUCAAAACCAGUACCAAAUUUCUAUUCUUUGUGAUCAGUUAAAAUUUGACAUGGCACGUCAGGAAAAUCUUUUGAAGAUUGGCCAAGAAGGAUUUAAAAUCAUAGAGAAGGUCUUCCCCCAAACCAGAGAUGCGGCUACUCGCCAAGAAUGUCAACAGAAUGAAUAUUAUAUGCAAAAACCAGCUGCUAUCGACUUCAAGCAGGCUGCCAAAAAAUAUGGAGGAAUCGCAAUUAUAGAAGGCCAAAAGAAAAAAAAAAUAAAAAAAUAGAAGGCUCUUAUCCUCUGGAUAAUCACACUACUCAUCAAGCUAGAUGUCAUAUGCUGUGGUUUUAGUCUUCGAGUCUGAUGUACAAAAUUAUAUAAUUUAGUUUUUGUAACCGUGAAACUUUCGUGUGAUUUUUGUAUUUUUAACUCGGUUCCUGUCAUAGACAAUCCUCUACUCAGGGCUUUG